rnacentral:rRNA from 1 species
GAUGAACGCUAGCUACAGGCUUAACACAUGCAAGUCGAGGGGCAGCAUCAUCAAAGCUUUGCUUUUGAUGGAUGGCGACCGGCGCACGGGUGAGUAACACGUAUCCAACCUGCCGACAACACUGGGAUAGCCUUUCGAAAAGAAAGAUUAAUACCGGAUGGCAUAGUUUUCCCGCAUGGGAUAAUUAUUAAAGAAUUUCGGUUGUCGAUGGGGAUGCGUUCCAUUAGGCAGUUGGCGGGGUAACGGCCCACCAAACCAACGAUGGAUAGGGGUUCUGAGAGGAAGGUCCCCCACAUUGGAACUGAGACACGGUCCAAACUCCUACGGGAGGCAGCAGUGAGGAAUAUUGGUCAAUGGACGAGAGUCUGAACCAGCCAAGUAGCGUGAAGGAUGACUGCCCUAUGGGUUGUAAACUUCUUUUAUACGGGAAUAAAGUUAGCCACGUGUGGCUUUUUGUAUGUACCGUAUGAAUAAGGAUCGGCUAACUCCGUGCCAGCAGCCGCGGUAAUACGGAGGAUCCGAGCGUUAUCCGGAUUUAUUGGGUUUAAAGGGAGCGUAGGCGGGUUGUUAAGUCAGUUGUGAAAGUUUGCGGCUCAACCGUAAAAUUGCAGUUGAUACUGGCGACCUUGAGUGCAACAGAGGUAGGCGGAAUUCGUGGUGUAGCGGUGAAAUGCUUAGUUAUCACGAAGAACUCCGAUUGCGAAGGCAGCUUACUGGAUUGUAACUGACGCUGAUGCUCGAAAGUGUGGGUAUCAAACAGGAUUAGAUACCCUGGUAGUCCACACAGUAAACGAUGAAUACUCGCUGUUGGCGAUAUACGGUCAGCGGCCAAGCGAAAGCAUUAAGUAUUCCACCUGGGGAGUACGCCGGCAACGGUGAAACUCAAAGGAAUUGACGGGGGCCCGCACAAGCGGAGGAACAUGUGGUUUAAUUCGAUGAUACGCGAGGAACCUUACCCGGGCUUAAAUUGCAAUUGACGGAACCGGAAACGGUUCUUUCUUCGGACAGUUGUGAAGGUGCUGCAUGGUUGUCGUCAGCUCGUGCCGUGAGGUGUCGGCUUAAGUGCCAUAACGAGCGCAACCCUUACGGGUAGUUACCAUCAGGUUAUGCUGGGGACUCUACCCGGACUGCCGUCGUAAGAUGUGAGGAAGGUGGGGAUGACGUCAAAUCAGCACGGCCCUUACGUCCGGGGCUACACACGUGUUACAAUGGGGGGUACAGAAGGCAGCUACACGGCGACGUGGUGCUAAUCCCAAAAGCCUCUCUCAGUUCGGAUUGGAGUCUGCAACCCGACUCCAUGAAGCUGGAUUCGCUAGUAAUCGCGCAUCAGCCACGGCGCGGUGAAUACGUUCCCGGGCCU